CCAGAUAAGAACACCUUUAAGCUUGCUACCAACUAUAUUGUCAGGUCUACUUGCUACAUUACAAAGCAGUGAAAUAAUUACCCAAUGAAGUGACAUGAAAAACAAAACAAAGAUUUAUUUUGAAGCAAGCAUUAUCUGAAAUAUGUCAAACUUUAUACAUCAUAGGACUAUCAAAACCCAGAGGAAGAUGGAACAAUAAUCAGUUCUCCUAUGCGAUCCAGGCUUCAUUUACACACCUAGAGCUUAUCUUCCUUGGGAACAUCUUUAUGUGGCAGCUCUUUAGGUUUUGCCUUCUCCAUUUCCCUACAAAAUAUUAUCAAAUUGUGAUUCAUACUGACAAAAGAUGGCUUGCACAAACUUAUAAAUGCAAAUACAAAAGAAAGAUGCAGGCUUUCUCACGAGAACAAAAAAAUAGAUAGCUCAUCCACUACAGAGUUCGGAAAGGAGGAGAAACUCCAACCUCAUUUACAUGAAAUCCUAUAAUAAUCCACUCUUCCUGGGUGUCUACUUGUUUCUUCUUCCAGAGUAAUACAUUAUUAGGUUUCUCAACCAUUUGAGUUCAUAUAAU
rnacentral:lncRNA from 1 species